rnacentral:lncRNA from 1 species
CAAAAACAAGUGAGUGAGACAGGUGGUGCAGAGCUGUCAUCCCAGCCACUCUGGAGGCUGAGGCAAGAAAAUCAGAAGGCAAGGGUAACCUGGGCUAAGAGUGAGUUCAAGGCCAGCCUGGAGAACCUAGAGGACCAUGGAAGCGGGGAAUGGGGACUGGCAAGAUGACUCGACAACAAAACAACUAUGCAACACCCUUCCCUGCAGCAGCUGCAACAGUGUGUCCUGGGCGCAUUUUGUGCCUCUCCAGCUGUGUGUAGCUUGUUUUAGGAAGGAAGCAAAACAGAGAUCUCAUCAUCUAUUCCUAGCCAAGGUCACAGCUGGGAGCUGUACCGGUUCUGUGGGCGACGCCCCAAGGGAAGCACUAAUGAUUGGAGCAAAGGGUCCUCACAGAAGCAAUCAG